UGCGGAGCUACCAUGCAAGUCGAGCGAGACCUUCGGGUCUAGCGGCGGACGGGUGAGUAACGCGUGGGAACGUGCCCUUCUCUACGGAAUAGUCCCGGGAAACUGGGUUUAAUACCGUAUACGCCCUUCGGGGGAAAGAUUUAUCGGAGAAGGAUCGGCCCGCGUUAGAUUAGGUAGUUGGUGGGGUAAUGGCCUACCAAGCCUACGAUCUAUAGCUGGUUUGAGAGGAUGAUCAGCCACACUGGGACUGAGACACGGCCCAGACUCCUACGGGAGGCAGCAGUGGGGAAUCUUAGACAAUGGGGGCAACCCUGAUCUAGCCAUGCCGCGUGAGUGAUGAAGGCCUUAGGGUCGUAAAGCUCUUUCGCUGGGGAAGAUAAUGACUGUACCCAGUAAAGAAACCCCGGCUAACUCCGUGCCAGAGCCGCGGUAA
rnacentral:rRNA from 1 species